GACAACCCUAUUAGGACCAUAACUCGAAAUCACGACUUCUUGAAAACUGGUUUUGAGAAACAUUCAUAGACAAACAGAUCUUAGUUUAACCUUUACACACUCAGGUGAUCUACUUUUGACUGCAAUUUUUUGUCCUUAAAUGAAAAUUUAGUCAUUCAUCUUUUAAACUGACUUUUUAUAAUUAUCGCCAAAAACAUAAACCGUGUUGUCUCAAGAUGAAUGAAGUUGGUAGGAAUUCUGAUAAAAUUACAAUAAAAGUAAGGCAUUCGGAUGAGGAUUAUCAUGAGAUUACAAUUGAUUGGUCAAAUGAAAGUUUUGAUUUCAGGAAACAAUUGUUUCAUCAGUUAUCAGCAUACACAGGAAUACCAGUUGAACAUCUUGAGUCUGUCGGUGUUCAUCAUUCGGUAUUCAAAUUAUUCAUUUCGAAAUGAAUAAUUUCUAGUUUACAUUCUACUCAUAUCAAUAGUUAUCAAAAUACACAGGAAUACCAGUUGAACAUCAACAUUAUGUCAGCGUGGACAGAACAUUUCGUCACGGUCACGGUCUGCUAAAUAUGGAAUGGAAGGAUGGAACUUACCAUGAGAGCUGGGAUUGGGUAUACGACUCAAAGGAACGCGCAAUGAAUGCUUUCCAUGAUGGCGAUUGUUUUCUAUUUAGAACGAGACUUUUUGCAGAGGAUAUUGGAUUGGGUUGUAGAUAUGAAUUGAAGCAUCAGAGUCUGGUUAAUGAAACUGGAUGCGACCGAAAUUAUUGCUAUUACUUGGGUCGUCGAUCUUUCACAAAAAGAGUAUCAGAGUUGCUGAAAUCAGAUGAAUUGCGAAAAAUUUGCGAUGAAAAUGGCUUACGAUUUGGCGAACAACCAGAGGAAUUUUUAAGAAUGAACCUCAAUUUGAAUAUUGCACAUCUUACACACCCAGUGUGCACUGGGUGGCUCUUAGCUUGGCCUGAUGUAUUUCGGUUUGAUUCUAACCAUAUGUACUUACGUUACCGUGGCUAACUUAAA